AUGGGGGAAAAUCAAGGACUCCAGCAAGUGCUUGAGAAGUUGGCACAACUUCUCACAGAGAAGACCGGAGGCAGAUCGCCCUCUGGUAGAGAGAUGAUACCUCAUGCUGAAACUGUGCAGAAGAUUGAAUUGAUGCCGAAUGAUAUUAAGUUAGAGGGGGUAAGAAAUUACUUAAGUUGGCCACGAAGGGCUUUGCUGAUCCUAAAGACAAAGGGGUUAGAGAGCUUUGUUGAAGGAGAAUCAACUGAGCCAGUGGGCAAGGCGAGUGCAGAAUGGAGGAAUUGGAAUACCACCAAUUCAUUGGUGGUGGCAUGGAUGUUAAAUUCCCUGUCUCCGAGCAUUGCUGCAACUGUUGAGACAAUCUCAAAUGCCGCUGAGGUAUGGAAAACUCUGUCGAAGCUAUACUCCGGGAAAGGGAAUGUGAUGUUGAUGGUGGAGACACAAGAGAGAGUUAGUGAUCUGAGACAGGGGGAGCACACUGUAAUGGAGUAUGUUGCUGAGUUGCAGCGAUUAUGGGCUGAUCUAGAUCACUUCGACCCUCUCGAGUUGCCACAUGCAGAUUGCAUAUCUACUGUUAAGAAGUGGAUUGAACGUAGGCGAGUGAUCCAAUUCCUCAAGGGUUUGAACUCAGAAUUUGAGGGAAGACGCGCUACUAUGUUCCACCAACCCACUCUCCCCACUUUGGAGGAAGCUAUAGCAGCAAUUGCACAAGAGGAGGUCAGACUGAAGGUGAUGAAGAACAAUAUAACAACUCCAUCUCGUCAUGCCUUCAUAGUAAGGAAUAGUGAGACCAGGGAGUGUUUCAACUGUGGUGAGACAGGGCACUUGAGUCGUGAUUGUCAUGCCCCGCACGGGGCUACCCGCGGAAGAGGGAGAGGAAAUGGCCGAGGUGGAACAAGAGGAGGUAGAGGUCGAGGAUAUAGGAUUGGUCACAAAGCAAAUGUGGCGGUCCAUGAAGAUGAAUCCUCUGACAAAGUUGAGUUCUCUGUAAAAGAGUUAGAAGAGUUGAGGAAGUUGAAAAGGAAGAUGGAGAAUGCGGGGAAUAAAGGCCAAGGAGACAUCACAUUUGGUGAUUUUGCUCACUUUGCUUAUGCCAAUGAAGGUGCAUCUAAACAUGUUGCGGGCACAUCGAAUGAGUUUGAGUCAUAUACUCAACAUCCACCCACACGAGAGGCGAACAGGGAGGAAGCUUGGGACCGCAACCAGACAUAA
rnacentral:rRNA from 1 species